rnacentral:rRNA from 1 species
GCAUCCAGGCGGGUUCGAAAGCUCCGGCGGUGAAGGAUGAGCCUUCGCGGCCUAUCAGCUUGUUGGUGAGGUAACGGCUCACCAAGGCGACGACGGGUAGCCGGCCUGAGAGGGCGACCGGCCACACUGGGACUGAGACACGGCCCAGACUCCUACGGGAGGCAGCAGUGGGGAAUAUUGCACAAUGGGCGAAAGCCUGAUGCAGCGACGCCGCGUGAGGGAUGACGGCCUUCGGGUUGUAAACCUCUUUCAGCAGGGAAGAAGCGAAAGUGACGGUACCUGCAGAAGAAGCGCCGGCUAACUACGUGCCAGCAGCCGCGGUAAUACGUAGGGCGCAAGCGUUGUCCGGAAUUAUUGGGCGUAAAGAGCUCGUAGGCGGCUUGUCACGUCGGUUGUGAAAGCCCGGGGCUUAACCCCGGGUCUGCAGUCGAUACGGGCAGGCUAGAGUUCGGUAGGGGAGAUCGGAAUUCCUGGUGUAGCGGUGAAAUGCGCAGAUAUCAGGAGGAACACCGGUGGCGAAGGCGGAUCUCUGGGCCGAUACUGACGCUGAGGAGCGAAAGCGUGGGGAGCGAACAGGAUUAGAUACCCUGGUAGUCCACGCCGUAAACGGUGGGCACUAGGUGUGGGCAACAUUCCACGUUGUCCGUGCCGCAGCUAACGCAUUAAGUGCCCCGCCUGGGGAGUACGGACCGCAAGGCUAAAACUCAAAGGAAUUGACGGGGGC